CACAACUGGAUAGGAAUAUUUGAAGGACCAUGUUCUCCUGGGAUGGAGUGAGAAAAAAAGGGAAGAUUCUCUUCUCAGCAAGCUGGUGAAGCUUUUACCUCAAAGGCUGAUUUGACUCUGGUUCCAGGAAAGUGUCAUGUGUACCUGGAAAGGGCUCCGUAUGCACUGCUCACAACCCAAGUUCCACAUUGGACUACAACUCUGUUAACCACCAUCACUGUCCGGCAUUUUCUUUUCAGGGUUAAUCAGCAGAGUGAUAUGGAGUCUCAUUCUUGACCAGGAGCAGCAAGGACAGCUCUGAGCAAGAGAAUCAUAGGAAGGAAAUCUCUCAGUCAGCCAUGCCAGGUGGUGGUGUUGCACUUGUGUCUAUCAUGGUCCUCUGGGAUUGGGAAGAUGUGCCGGACUGAUA